AACUUUCGGCAACGGAUCUCUUGGUUCUCGCAACGAUGAAGAACGCAGCGAAAUGCGAUAAGUAGUGUGAAUUGCAGAAUUCAGUGAAUCAUCGAAUCUUUGAACGCACCUUGCGCUCCCUGGUAUUCCGGGGAGCAUGCCCGUUUCAGAACCAAUAAAAAUCUCACAAGGCCAAUUGCUUUCGGGCAUUUGGUUCUUUUGAAUAUGGAUUUUUGCUUUUGCAAUCAUCUUAAACUGAUUGUGUGUGCACCAAUUGAUGCGUCAUUUGGUUGUCUCAAGUGCAACAGAUUUAUCUAUUUCGCUUGGGCAAGCUCUUGAUGUUGGUUGACGCUCAUGCUCAUUUUUCUACACAAAGUCCCCAUGUCGAUCAUCGGAACUUUGAUAACUUGGUCUGAAAUCGGGCAAGAAAACCCGCUGAACUUAAGCAUAUCAAUAAGCGGAGGCU
rnacentral:misc_RNA from 1 species